GAUAGAUUUUUUUUUUCCCCUCUCCGAUAUAGUUCUCUGAAUUUAAUUGUAUUGAUUGGGAUUUUUGUUGAUUUUUCUACAGGGUCGAUGUAGAAUCAGAAAGAUGUGCCUCCUUUUGGAAUAAAUUCAAGUAAUGGCUUCCCAUGUGAAGUGCAUUAGAAAAAAGAAAACUUACUGGAAGCUGGUUUAGAAGGAUUUUACGAGAAACAUCAGGAGCAAGAAAAUCCUGGAGGUUACCAGCUAUAAAUAUACAGGGUUGUGAUGAUUCAAUACUUCUUAAUUGGACAAGCAUAAGUCAAACUGAGAAAGCUGCAAUUCCUAAUGUAUCCUAAGAGGCUUCAGUAUUAUUGAUGCUGCAAAGGCUGCAGUUGAAAAAGUGUGCCUUGAAGUUGUUUCAUGUGCUGAGAUAUUGUCUGCAAGAGAUUCAGUAGCUAUGAUUAAAGGACCAUGGUGGAAUGCACCCACAAGGCGAAGAGAUAUCCACUAUUGAAUAUGCUUUUAUACAUCUAUCAAUGUCACUCAAUUAAAGGCAUCAUUAGCAUCGAAGGGGUUGAAUGCAAAAGACCUUGCAGUCUUAUCAGGUACAUACGCAUAAAUUUAUGAAUAAGUUGGCGGAUACUUAGGCAGCUAACAUUUGGAAGUCAUUGAUAAAUUUAUAAGAGGAUAUGUAGGUUUGAAAUUAUCGUCAGAUUUUUAUACUCCAGGAAUAUCCCCCAUGCUAAGUAAUGAUUUAGAAGGCAGGGUUGGUGGUUUUGCAACAGAUGUAGGAGAUAGAUGAGGAUGUGUAGGUUGCUUAGCAACGGGAGUGGAAGCACAAGAGAUUAUGAUUGUGGCUUAAAAUAACAGGCGGGCGUUGGAGGUACACGAGUAUACGAAGGUGGCUUAGCUACGGCGGUGGCUUGGCCACGGUAUGGCAGCACAUGGGUGGCUGGUGGGUUAAUGUGAAUUGGAGGUAGAGGAGUAUGCUAUGGUGGUUGAUAAGAGGUACAGGAGUAUAUGUUGGUGCUUAACGGGAGCUGGAGGUAGAAGAGUUUACUAUGGUGGUUUUGCAAUUAGAGUGAGAGGUUUAGGAGUGUAUAAUGGUGGUUUCCAUGUGAAAUUGAUUAGUGGCUAGCUAUGCUACGGGAGUUAAAUCCUGAUAAUAAGCUUUCCAUGGGUUUGAUGGAACUAUAAUAAUUCCAGAUGAGAUGUGCUCCAUGGCGGCGAGGGCAUGAGUUGUAAGAUCACAGAAUGCUAAGGACACCAAUUUUGGGAGAACAUUCAGCUUUGACUUAAUUAUUGUGAAAUGGGUGGUAACUCUAAAACAUUUGGAAGAGGAUACUUAGGCAGCUAACAUUUGGAAGUCAUUGAUGAAAAAGAGUGGAUUGCAUAAAUGGCUUCUCAUGUAAAGUCCAUUGGCAAAAAAACACUUGGUCGAAGCUGGCUUAGAAGGAUUCUGCGGAGAAACAUCAGGAGCAAUAAAAUCCUGGUGGUUAUCAGGUAGGAACUCAUCAAUAAAAUCCUGGUGGUAUUGAUUUUUCACUCUAAGAAGGAUUCUACGGAGAAACAUCAGGAGCAAUAAAAUCCUGGUGGUUAUCAGAUUACCAGGAUGUAGGUGGUGAUGAGUGAAGCAGCUGGAUGUCAUGGCACUAUUAACAUGGGAAAACAUGUUUUAAAAGGAUGGACCAAAUAAGAUAUGAUAUUUCUAUAAUACCAAAUUGCUAAGGCAUAUCUUCUUUUAUGGAUGGGCUCUCUUUCUUCCCUAAAUCUAACCGUGUGAGUUUGGAACAGCUGAAACUUUGUACCGAUCUCUGGCGUAUAUGAGGUAUACAAUUCCUUCUUUUUCAUUCGGAAAACGAAUGCUUAAUGUUCUGAAAUUAUCUAUUUAUAUGUGUUCAUGGUUCCUGAAAUAUACAAUGAUUUUAUUUAUUUAUUUAUUUUUGAGCAUUUUGCAAGGAUAACCUUGCCUCCUAUAUGCAGUUUCUUAAUGUUCAUGUCAUAUCUUAAGUUAAUGUUCACAUCUCUAUUUAAUAUUGUUUAGACCUCAAAAUCCUUGCAUCAGCUGCACUAUAUAUCUUUGACAUGUCUUCUCCAUGCUUUGGAUAAGCUUGGUGCUUCACAUAUAGUUUGGUUUGCCUAAGAUCCAAGGAACUUAAUAGGUUUCUCGCGAAAGUUUACCGUUGGAAAAGGUGCACCCAAUUUUGUAUUCCAUGACAGAGUCCGCAAGAUCAAUCGUCGCUUUUAUUUGUGGUGAGUACUGGCUUAACCUAUAUGUGAUUGUUUAAUCUGUUAAAUAAUGAAACACAGUAAAGGAAGAAACACAGUAAAGGAAGAACAAGCGAAACCAAAAGCCAGAUUUCAGAACGGUGUUCUCUUUCUUUAAUCUUCGUGUUCAUAUCCUCGAGGAUCAUCCUUAAGGUUUCCAGAAAUCUGAAAUGUGUGAACAUUAUAGUAAGAGAACAAUGCUCUAAAACAUUUGACAACUGAGCAAGACGAGCAAGAUUAGAAGAAGAAGAAGAAGAAGAAGAAACGGUUGGUGAGAAUAGGAGGAUAAGCAUCAAGAUAAAGGGAUUAUUACACAGCACUUUAGGUGGACAUGAAUCUCCUUCUGGCAAGUAGACUCAGCAGAUCAUUUCUGAUCUUAACCCGUUUAUCUUUAUAGUAAUUUCCUUAUCGCCAGACUACGAUUCUUGAUCUCUACAGUAGAUCCCUUUUGAAUAUGGGAAUAUUAUUAUCAUGAGAAAUGUUUAAGAUGCAUUUCAAUUUCUUA